rnacentral:rRNA from 1 species
AUUGAACGCAGGCGGCAUGCCUUACACAUGCAAGUCGAACGGUAACAGGUUAAGCUGACGAGUGGCGAACGGGUGAGUAAUGUAUCGGAACGUGCCCAGUUGUGGGGGAUAACUGCUCGAAAGAGCAGCUAAUACCGCAUACGACCUGAGGGUGAAAGCGGGGGAUCGCAAGACCUCGCGCAAUUGGAGCGGCCGAUAUCAGAUUAGGUAGUUGGUGGGGUAAAGGCUCACCAAGCCGACGAUCUGUAGCUGGUCUGAGAGGACGACCAGCCACACUGGGACUGAGACACGACCCAGACUCCUACGGGAGGCAGCAGUGGGGAAUUUUGGACAAUGGGCGCAAGCCUGAUCCAGCCAUGCCGCGUGCGGGAAGAAGGCCUUCGGGUUGUAAACCGCUUUUGUCAGGGAAGAAACGCUCUGGGUUAAUACCCUGGGGUAAUGACGGUACCUGAAGAAUAAGCACCGGCUAACUACGUGCCAGCCGCCGCGGUAA